rnacentral:rRNA from 1 species
AGAGUUUGAUCAUGGCUCAGAUUGAACGCUGGCGGCAGGCCUAACACAUGCAAGUCGAGCGGUAGCACAGAGAGCUUGCUCUCGGGUGACGAGCGGCGGACGGGUGAGUAAUGUCUGGGAAACUGCCUGAUGGAGGGGGAUAACUACUGGAAACGGUAGCUAAUACCGCAUAACGUCGCAAGACCAAAGUGGGGGACCUUCGGGCCUCAUGCCAUCAGAUGUGCCCAGAUGGGAUUAGCUAGUAGGUGGGGUAACGGCUCACCUAGGCGACGAUCCCUAGCUGGUCUGAGAGGAUGACCAGCCACACUGGAACUGAGACACGGUCCAGACUCCUACGGGAGGCAGCAGUGGGGAAUAUUGCACAAUGGGCGCAAGCCUGAUGCAGCCAUGCCGCGUGUGUGAAGAAGGCCUUCGGGUUGUAAAGCACUUUCAGCGGGGAGGAAGGCGGUAAGGUUAAUAACCUCAUCGAUUGACGUUACCCGCAGAAGAAGCACCGGCUAACUCCGUGCCAGCAGCCGCGGUAAUACGGAGGGUGCAAGCGUUAAUCGGAAUUACUGGGCGUAAAGCGCACGCAGGCGGUCUGUCAAGUCGGAUGUGAAAUCCCCGGGCUCAACCUGGGAACUGCAUUCGAAACUGGCAGGCUAGAGUCUUGUAGAGGGGGGUAGAAUUCCAGGUGUAGCGGUGAAAUGCGUAGAGAUCUGGAGGAAUACCGGUGGCGAAGGCGGCCCCCUGGACAAAGACUGACGCUCAGGUGCGAAAGCGUGGGGAGCAAACAGGAUUAGAUACCCUGGUAGUCCACGCCGUAAACGAUGUCGAUUUGGAGGUUGUGCCCUUGAGGCGUGGCUUCCGGAGCUAACGCGUUAAAUCGACCGCCUGGGGAGUACGGCCGCAAGGUUAAAACUCAAAUGAAUUGACGGGGGCCCGCACAAGCGGUGGAGCAUGUGGUUUAAUUCGAUGCAACGCGAAGAACCUUACCUGGUCUUGACAUCCACAGAACUUUCCAGAGAUGGAUUGGUGCCUUCGGGAACUGUGAGACAGGUGCUGCAUGGCUGUCGUCAGCUCGUGUUGUGAAAUGUUGGGUUAAGUCCCGCAACGAGCGCAACCCUUAUCCUUUGUUGCCAGCGGUCCGGCCGGGAACUCAAAGGAGACUGCCAGUGAUAAACUGGAGGAAGGUGGGGAUGACGUCAAGUCAUCAUGGCCCUUACGACCAGGGCUACACACGUGCUACAAUGGCAUAUACAAAGAGAAGCGACCUCGCGAGAGCAAGCGGACCUCAUAAAGUAUGUCGUAGUCCGGAUUGGAGUCUGCAACUCGACUCCAUGAAGUCGGAAUCGCUAGUAAUCGUAGAUCAGAAUGCUACGGUGAAUACGUUCCCGGGCCUUGUACACACCGCCCGUCACACCAUGGGAGUGGGUUGCAAAAGAAGUAGGUAGCUUAACCUUCGGGAGGGCGCUUACCACUUUGUGAUUCAUGACUGGGGUGAAGUCGUAACAAGGUAACCGUAGGGGAACCUGCGGUUG